UACGUAGGGUGCAAGCGUUAAUCGGAAUUACUGGGCGUAAAGCGUGCGCAGGCGGUUCUGUAAGUCUCGUCGUGAAAUCCCCGGGCUCAACCUGGGAACUUGCGAUGGAGACUGCAAGGCUAGAAUCUGGCAGAGGGGGGUAGAAUCCACGUGUAGCGGUGAAAUGCGCAGAUAUCAGGAAGAACACCCGUGGCGAAGGCGGCUCUC
rnacentral:rRNA from 1 species